GGUUUGAUCAUGGCUCAGAUUGAACCGCUGCGGGAGUGUUUGAUACAUGCAAGUCGAACGGCAGCACGGACUUCGGUCUGGUGGCGAGUGCGACCAAGAGUAAUGUAUCGGAACGUGCCUAGUAGCGGGGGAUAACUACGCGAAAGCGUAGCUAAUACUGCGACAUGCCCUUUGGGGAAAGCGGGGACCUUCGGGCCUCGCACUAUUAGAGUGGCCGAUAUCGGAUGAAGGAAGGGUAGUAACUGCUCACCAAGGCGAUGAUCCGUAGCUGGUUUGAGAGAUGACCAGCCACGACUGGGACUGAGAUGACGGCCCAGACUCCUACGGGAGGCAGCAGUGGGGAAUUUUGGACAAUGGGGAAACCCUGGAUCCAGCCAUCCCGCGUGUGCGAUGAAGGCCUUCGGGUUGUAAAGCACUUUUGGCAGGAAAGAAACGGCACGGAUACAUGGCUCUGUGCAACUGACGGUGUUCUUGCAGAAUAAGUGACUGGCUAAUCCAUGCCAGCAGCCGCGGUAAUACGUAGGGUGCAAGCGUUAAUCGGAAUUACUGGGCGUAAAGCGUGUGCGCAGGCGGUUCGGAAAGAAAGAUGUGAAAUCCCAGAGCUUAACUUUUGGAACUGCAUUUUUAACUACCGAGCUAGAGUGUGUCAGAGGGAGGUGGAAUUCCGCGUGUAGCAGUGAAAUGCGUAGAUAUGCGGAGGAACACCGAUGGCGAAGGCAGCCUCCCUGGGAUAAAUGACGACGUUUCAUGCACGAAAGCGGGGAGCAAACAGGAUUAGAUACCCCAGUAGUCCACGCCCUAAACGAUGUCAACUAGCUGUUGGGGCCUUCGGGCCUUGGUAGCGCAGCGCCAACGCGUGAAGUUGACCGGGGAGUACGGUCGCAAGAUUAAAACUCAAAGGAAUUGACGGGGACUCCGCACAAGCGGUGGAUGAUGUGGAUUAAUUCGAUGCAACGCGAAAAACCUUACCUACCCUUUGAUGAUGUUCUGAAUCCCGAAGAGAUUUGGGAGUGCUCGCAAGAGAAACCGGAACACAGGUGCUGCAUGGCUGUCGUCAGCUCAGGCCGUGAGAUGUUGGGCGUUGCCUCCGCAACGAGCGGCAACCUUGCCGCUGAAGGCACCAGGCGGCACUCCGACGACUGCCGGUGACAAACCGGAGGAAGGUGGGGGAUGACGUCAAGUCCUCAUGGCCCUUAUGGGUAGGGCUUCACACGUCAUACAAUGGUCGGGACAGAGGGUCGCCAACCCGCGAGGGGGAGCUAAUCCCAGAAACCGAUUUCAGUCCUGAUCAGUUCGCAACCCGACCGGUGUGAAGUCGGAACUCCGCUAGUAAUCGCGGAUCAGCAUGCUGCGGCAGCACGUCUCUGGCCUGCACACACCGCCCGUCGCCACCAUGGGAUGGGUUUACCAGAAGUAGUUAUGUAUUCUAACUGCAAGGAGUGGCGAUUACCACGGUAGGAUUCAUGACUGGGGUGGUCGUAACAAGGUAA
rnacentral:rRNA from 1 species